UACGUAGGGUGCGAGCGUUGUCCGGAAUUAUUGGGCGUAAAGAGCUUGUAGGCGGUUUGUCGCGUCUGCUGUGAAAUUCCAGGGCUUAACCCUGGGCUUGCAGUGGGUACGGGCAGACUAGAGUGUGGUAGGGGAGACUGGAAUUCCUGGUGUAGCGGUGAAAUGCGCAGAUAUCAGGAGGAACACCGGUGGCGAAGGCGGGCGCCUGGGCCGUGA
rnacentral:rRNA from 1 species